GCAAUAGCUGAUUGCAUUUAAUUUAAUGUAGUUACUACUUGGUAGUUUAAAUUUCUAGGUAGAAUUAUGAUGAUGACAUNAUCUAUCUAUUAGUCUUGACCAAAUUACGUGCCAGCAGUCGCGGUAAUACGUAGAAGACAAGUGUUAUUCAUCUUUAUUAGGUUUAAAGAGUACCAAGACGGUUAAUAAAGCCCAAAAGAAAUGAAUACGGGGGACACAUUAACUAGAGUUAUAUGAAAGGAAGCUAUAAGGUACUGUUGAGUGUAGAGAUGAAAUUUAAUGAUACCAGAUGAUUGGCACAGAUUUAUGCGAAGGCAUCUUCUUAUGUAAUAACUGACGUUGUAGGACGAAGGCUUAGGAAGUGAACAGGAUUAGGUACCCCAGUAAUCUAGGCAGAAAAUGAUGAAUGUCAUAGGUUGAAUACAGACAAGUUAAAUUUACUAUAUAAUUGUAAAUAGGUGGUAUAUUUAAUGAGUCUAUUAUUGUGUCUAUAAAUGAAAGUGUAAGCAUUCCACCUCAAGAGUAAUUUGGCAACAUUGGAACUGAAAUCAUUAGACCGUUUCUGAAACCAGUAGUGAAGUAUGUUGUUUAAUUAGAUGAUACACAAAAACCUUACCACAAUUUGAAUAUAUAUAAAAUAUAUUUACAAGCGCUGCACGGCUGUCUACAGUUAAUGUCGUGAGACUUUGGUUAGCUCCAUUAAAUUGACGUA
rnacentral:rRNA from 1 species